GAUGAACGCUGACAGAAUGCUUAACACAUGCAAGUCAACUUGAACUUCGGUUUGGGUGGCGGACGGGUGAGUAACGCGUAAAGAACUCGCCUCACAGCUAGGGACAACAUUUGGAAACGAAUGCUAAUACCUGAUAUUAUGAUUAUAUGGCAUCGUAUAAUUAUGAAAGCUAUAUGCGCUGUGAGAGAGCUUUGCGUCCCAUUAGCUAGUUCGAGAGGUAACAGCUCACCAAGGCGAUGAUGGGUAGCCGGCCUGAGAGGGUGAUCGGCCACAAGGGGACUGAGACACGGCCCUUACUCCUACGGGAGGCAGCAGUGGGGAAUAUUGGACAAUGGACCGAGAGUCUGAUCCAGCAAUUCUGUGUGCACGAUGAAGUUUUUCGGAAUGUAAAGUGCUUUCAGUUGGGAAGAAAAAAAUGACGGUACCAACAGAAGAAGUGACGGCUAAAUACGUG
rnacentral:rRNA from 1 species